AUUGAACGCUGGCGGAAUGCUUUACACAUGCAAGUCGAACGGCAGCACGGGGGCAACCCUGGUGGCGAGUGGCGAACGGGUGAGUAAUACAUCGGAACGUGCCCAGUCGUGGGGGAUAACGUAGCGAAAGUUACGCUAAUACCGCAUACGAUCUAUGGAUGAAAGCGGGGGAUCGCAAGACCUCGCGCGAUUGGAGCGGCCGAUAUCAGAUUAGGUAGUUGGUGGGGUAAAGGCCCACCAAGCCAACGAUCUGUAGCUGGUCUGAGAGGACGCGCAGCCACACUGGAACUGAGACACGGUCCAGACUCCUACGGGAGGCAGCAGUGGGGAAUUUUGGACAAUGGGCGAAAGCCUGAUCCAGCCAUUCCGCGUGCAGGAUGAAGGCCCUCGGGUUGUAAACUGCUUUUGUACAGAACGAAAAGGUUUCUACUAAUACUAGGGGCUCAUGACGGUACUGUAAGAAUAAGCACCGGCUAACUACGUGCCAGCCGCCGCGGUAA
rnacentral:rRNA from 1 species